rnacentral:rRNA from 1 species
GAUGAACGCUGGCGGCGUGCUUAACACAUGCAAGUCGAACGGAAAGGCUCCUGCUUGCAGGGGUACUCGAGUGGCGAACGGGUGAGUAACACGUGGGUGAUCUGCCCUGCACUUCGGGAUAAGCCUGGGAAACUGGGUCUAAUACCGGAUAGGACGAUGGUUUGGAUGCCAUUGUGGAAAGUUUUUCGGUGUGGGAUGAGCUCGCGGCCUAUCAGCUUGUUGGUGGGGUAAUGGCCUACCAAGGCGUCGACGGGUAGCCGGCCUGAGAGGGUGUACGGCCACAUUGGGACUGAGAUACGGCCCAGACUCCUACGGGAGGCAGCAGUGGGGAAUAUUGCACAAUGGGCGAAAGCCUGAUGCAGCGACGCCGCGUGGGGGAUGACGGCCUUCGGGUUGUAAACUCCUUUCGCUAGGGACGAAGCGCAAGUGACGGUACCUGGAGAAGAAGCACCGGCUAACUACGUG